GACGAACGCUGGCGGCGUGCUUAACACAUGCAAGUCGAACGGAAAGGCCCUGCUUUUGUGGGGUGCUCGAGUGGCGAACGGGUGAGUAACACGUGAGUAACCUGCCCUUGACUUUGGGAUAACUUCAGGAAACUGGGGCUAAUACCGGAUAGGAGCUCCUGCUGCAUGGUGGGGGUUGGAAAGUUUCGGCGGUUGGGGAUGGACGCGCGGCUUAUCAGCUUGUUGGUGGGGUAGUGGCUGACCAAGGCUUUGGAGGGUAGCCGGCCUGAGAGGGGGGCCGGCCACAUUGGGACUGAGAUACGGCCCAGACUCCUACGGGAGGCAGCAGUGGGGAAUAUUGCACAAUGGGCGGAAGCCUGAUGCAGCAACGCCGCGUGCGGGAUGACGGCCUUCGGGUUGUAAACCGCUUUCGCCUGUGACGAAGCGUGAGUGACGGUAAUGGGUAAAGAAGCACCGGCUAACUACGUG
rnacentral:rRNA from 1 species